GGGUUGUGAGGUUAAGCGACUAAGCGUACACGGUGGAUGCCCUGGCAGUCAGAGGCGAUGAAGGACGUGCUAAUCUGCGAUAAGCGUCGGUAAGGUGAUAUGAACCGUUAUAACCGGCGAUUUCCGAAUGGGGAAACCCAGUGUGUUUCGACACACUAUCAUUAACUGAAUCCAUAGGUUAAUGAGGCGAACCGGGGGAACUGAAACAUCUAAGUACCCCGAGGAAAAGAAAUCAACCGAGAUUCCCCCAGUAGCGGCGAGCGAACGGGGAGCAGCCCAGAGCCUGAAUCAGUGUGUGUGUUAGUGGAAGCGUCUGGAAAGGCGCGCGAUACAGGGUGACAGCCCCGUACACAAAAAUGCACAUGCUGUGAGCUCGAUGAGUAGGGCGGGACACGUGGUAUCCUGUCUGAAUAUGGGGGGACCAUCCUCCAAGGCUAAAUACUCCUGACUGACCGAUAGUGAACCAGUACCGUGAGGGAAAGGCGAAAAGAACCCCGGCGAGGGGAGUGAAAAAGAACCUGAAACCGUGUACGUACAAGCAGUGGGAGCACGCUUAGGCGUGUGACUGCGUACCUUUUGUAUAAUGGGUCAGCGACUUAUAUUCUGUAGCAAGGUUAACCGAAUAGGGGAGCCGAAGGGAAACCGAGUCUUAACUGGGCGUUAAGUUGCAGGGUAUAGACCCGAAACCCGGUGAUCUAGCCAUGGGCAGGUUGAAGGUUGGGUAACACUAACUGGAGGACCGAACCGACUAAUGUUGAAAAAUUAGCGGAUGACUUGUGGCUGGGGGUGAAAGGCCAAUCAAACCGGGAGAUAGCUGGUUCUCCCCGAAAGCUAUUUAGGUAGCGCCUCGUGAAUUCAUCUCCGGGGGUAGAGCACUGUUUCGGCAAGGGGGUCAUCCCGACUUACCAACCCGAUGCAAACUGCGAAUACCGGAGAAUGUUAUCACGGGAGACACACGGCGGGUGCUAACGUCCGUCGUGAAGAGGGAAACAACCCAGACCGCCAGCUAAGGUCCCAAAGUCAUGGUUAAGUGGGAAACGAUGUGGGAAGGCCCAGACAGCCAGGAUGUUGGCUUAGAAGCAGCCAUCAUUUAAAGAAAGCGUAAUAGCUCACUGGUCGAGUCGGCCUGCGCGGAAGAUGUAACGGGGCUAAACCAUGCACCGAAGCUGCGGCAGCGACGCUUAUGCGUUGUUGGGUAGGGGAGCGUUCUGUAAGCCUGUGAAGGUGUGCUGUGAGGCAUGCUGGAGGUAUCAGAAGUGCGAAUGCUGACAUAAGUAACGAUAAAGCGGGUGAAAAGCCCGCUCGCCGGAAGACCAAGGGUUCCUGUCCAACGUUAAUCGGGGCAGGGUGAGUCGACCCCUAAGGCGAGGCCGAAAGGCGUAGUCGAUGGGAAACAGGUUAAUAUUCCUGUACUUGGUGUUACUGCGAAGGGGGGACGGAGAAGGCUAUGUUGGCCGGGCGACGGUUGUCCCGGUUUAAGCGUGUAGGCUGGUUUUCCAGGCAAAUCCGGAAAAUCAAGGCUGAGGCGUGAUGACGAGGCACUACGGUGCUGAAGCAACAAAUGCCCUGCUUCCAGGAAAAGCCUCUAAGCAUCAGGUAACAUCAAAUCGUACCCCAAACCGACACAGGUGGUCAGGUAGAGAAUACCAAGGCGCUUGAGAGAACUCGGGUGAAGGAACUAGGCAAAAUGGUGCCGUAACUUCGGGAGAAGGCACGCUGAUAUGUAGGUGAAGUCCCUCGCGGAUGGAGCUGAAAUCAGUCGAAGAUACCAGCUGGCUGCAACUGUUUAUUAAAAACACAGCACUGUGCAAACACGAAAGUGGACGUAUACGGUGUGACGCCUGCCCGGUGCCGGAAGGUUAAUUGAUGGGGUCAGCGCAAGCGAAGCUCUUGAUCGAAGCCCCGGUAAACGGCGGCCGUAACUAUAACGGUCCUAAGGUAGCGAAAUUCCUUGUCGGGUAAGUUCCGACCUGCACGAAUGGCGUAAUGAUGGCCAGGCUGUCUCCACCCGAGACUCAGUGAAAUUGAACUCGCUGUGAAGAUGCAGUGUACCCGCGGCAAGACGGAAAGACCCCGUGAACCUUUACUAUAGCUUGACACUGAACAUUGAGCCUUGAUGUGUAGGAUAGGUGGGAGGCUUAGAAGUGUGGACGCCAGUCUGCAUGGAGCCGACCUUGAAAUACCACCCUUUAAUGUUUGAUGUUCUAACGUUGACCCGUAAUCCGGGUUGCGGACAGUGUCUGGUGGGUAGUUUGACUGGGGCGGUCUCCUCCUAAAGAGUAACGGAGGAGCACGAAGGUUGGCUAAUCCUGGUCGGACAUCAGGAGGUUAGUGCAAUGGCAUAAGCCAGCUUGACUGCGAGCGUGACGGCGCGAGCAGGUGCGAAAGCAGGUCAUAGUGAUCCGGUGGUUCUGAAUGGAAGGGCCAUCGCUCAACGGAUAAAAGGUACUCCGGGGAUAACAGGCUGAUACCGCCCAAGAGUUCAUAUCGACGGCGGUGUUUGGCACCUCGAUGUCGGCUCAUCACAUCCUGGGGCUGAAGUAGGUCCCAAGGGUAUGGCUGUUCGCCAUUUAAAGUGGUACGCGAGCUGGGUUUAGAACGUCGUGAGACAGUUCGGUCCCUAUCUGCCGUGGGCGCUGGAGAACUGAGGGGGGCUGCUCCUAGUACGAGAGGACCGGAGUGGACGCAUCACUGGUGUUCGGGUUGUCAUGCCAAUGGCACUGCCCGGUAGCUAAAUGCGGAAGAGAUAAGUGCUGAAAGCAUCUAAGCACGAAACUUGCCCCGAGAUGAGUUCUCCCUGACUCCUUGAGAGUCCUGAAGGAACGUUGAAGACGACGACGUUGAUAGGCCGGGUGUGUAAGCGCAGCGAUGCGUUGAGCUAACCGGUACUAAUGAACCGUGAGGCUUAACCUUACAACGCCGAAG
rnacentral:rRNA from 1 species